rnacentral:rRNA from 1 species
CCUACGGGGUGCAGCAGUGAGGAAUAUUGGUCAAUGGGCGCGAGCCUGAACCAGCCAAGUAGCGUGAAGGAUGACUGCCCUAUGGGUUGUAAACUUCUUUUAUAAAGGAAUAAAACGAGGCACGUGUGCCUUUUUGCAUGUACUUUAUGAAUAAGGAUCGGCUAACUCCGUGCCAGCAGCCGCGGUAAUACGGAGGAUCCGAGCGUUAUCCGGAUUUAUUGGGUUUAAAGGGAGCGUAGAUGGGUUGUUAAGUCAGUUGUGAAAGUUUGCGGCUCAACCGUAAAAUUGCAAUUGAUACUGGCAGCCUUGAGUACAGUUGAGGUAGGCGGAAUUCGUGGUGUAGCGGUGAAAUGCUUAGAUAUCACGAAGAACUCCGAUUGCGAAGGCAGCUUACUAAACUGCCACUGACAUUGAUGCUCGAAAGUGUGGGUAUCAAACAGGAUUAGAUACCCGAGUAGUC